AUUUUGCCAACGUGGGUAGUGACCCCAGCAACAAAAUGGGUCAAACACAUUGUACUAUCGCCUUUAAAAACAUCAACACACAAGUGAAAAAUUGUGGAUUCUGUAAGGUAACAUAAGAAUUGAAAAACACUAAAUAUUUUAAUUUAUUUUUAACUCACAUAGUGAUUCUUCAUUGACGUUGUAUAAGUUGGCUUGCUGCCGACGUUUCCGAGGACCAUACUUCCUGUAUCAUCAGGAUGGAAGUGAGGAGCCAAUAUCAUGAGAUUCAUCCUUCUAUCAGUACAGGAAACAAUAUAUGCAGUUUGAUAUGAAUUCACGUGUAACCUGCCCACAUAUCCGAUACAAAACGGUGGUAAAGGAUAUAGAACGUCUCUACCAAUUACAAGCUUUAAUAUACACAUACAUAUGACGAUCUCAAGAGAUUCAGCAUUCCUCAACAUUUAUUAAGAGUAACCAUGAAUUUAUCUUGAAGUACUUGAAAGCUUACUAGAUGGCUACUUACCGCAAAUUUAAAGAAUACUGGGUAACGUGACAAACAUCAAACAGAGAAAAAUACGUCUUAACCCUAUAGCAUAUAUAUCACCAAACUACUAUUCUCAUACAUUAUUACAUCAUUUAUGUAUAGAGAAACAGAACUUAUCUGGACGGAAAAUAAUGGUACAAAUACAACCAAAAUCUGACGGAAAAUAACGGUACAAAUACAACCAAAAUCUGACAAGUCACAGCAAAUAAAAGGACACUGAUAUGCUAAGAGAGUAACAAAAGCCAUGAAUGGCUUUAUAUGAAACAACUUGUGGGUCUAAAGACCAAAAAUUCAGGAGGCGAGAAUUAUCUCUUCCACAAAAUUCUGGCGAAUAAUUUCAAUUUGUAUUCACUUUCCAUCAAGCACUAAAUUUAUAAUUCGAUUUUACAAUUUCACUCUUGUGGAAUAAUUGCGGCAUUUGUUAAUUUAGCCCGUCAAAUCUGAGGUACAUGGGAGUAUAAAAACAAUACGCAUUAUGUCUUUUUAUGUAAAGGGCAGACGAUGACAUCAACGUGCCCAUAAAAGAGAGAACACAAUAGUGGCUUACACUGUGAGCCUCUUAGGGUAAUAGAAAUCAUAACAAAAUACCUAAUUCUAUCCUAUUCUAUGAAACAAAGAAAAUGGAACAAAAGAAAAAUUUUCACUGUAUGAAUAACAGAGACAGCUAACAGAAAUUUAACUAUUAAACUGAAGCAUUAUAUUUUCAACCUUACAAAUAACGGAUUAAUUCUGCAUAUCCUGCUACAUCCUUUCACCAGCAAUUUAUUUCUAAAAGUAAAUUCGAAAGCAGUUACUAAUGAAAUGAUGUAGCAUGUACUUCAGUAUCGUGAGGCUGAUCAAAAGCAAAAGGUUAGCCUUGCUUGGCCAUGUUGCAAGAAUGGAAGGAAACAGGGCAACUAGAAGAGUGAUGGAAUGGAGACCGAUGGGAAGAAGGAUGAGAGGGAUACCACGGAAAUGAUGGAUAGAUGAUGUGGAGGAUGUGAGGACAAUGGGAGUGAGGGGAUGGAGAAGAAUUGUGAAUGAUAGGACAGAAUGGAAAAAACUAGUCGAACAAGUUAAGACCCACAUAGGGUUAUAAGGCUACAAGAAAAAUAAGAAGAGAAUGUACUUCAGUAAUUUCUUGGGGAAGUUUAGUGAAUGUUUCUUCACCUACUUUGCCUGUAUCGAAUUUUGUGUGAAUGUACUGAUGACAUUUUGUCUGUUGAUGAAGAGAGGAUAAGGAUAAAACCUAAGUUUGUAUAUAAGUAAUGUUGCAAUGGGUAGGAAUGACUUGAAAAAAACAUUUCGGCCCUAUUUACUGUAAACAGAAACACAAAUAAAGAGGUACUUAAAAUCCUUUUGGAAAAUU